rnacentral:rRNA from 1 species
CCUACGGGAGGCAGCAGUGAGGAAUAUUGGUCAAUGGACGAGAGUCUGAACCAGCCAAGUAGCGUGAAGGAUGACUGCCCUAUGGGUUGUAAACUUCUUUUAUAAGGGAAUAAAACGAGCCACGUGUGCCUUUUUGCAUGUACCUUAUGAAUAAGGAUCGGCUAACUCCGUGCCAGCAGCCGCGGUAAUACGGAGGAUCCGAGCGUUAUCCGGAUUUAUUGGGUUUAAAGGGAGCGUAGGUGGGUUGUUAAGUCAGUUGUGAAAGUUUGCGGCUCAACCGUAAAAUUGCAGUUGAUACUGGCAGUCUUGAGUACAGUAGAGGUAGGCGGAAUUCGUGGUGUAGCGGUGAAAUGCUUAGAUAUCACGAAGAACUCCGAUUGCGAAGGCAGCUUACUGGACUGUAACUGACAUUGAGGCUCGAAAGUGUGGGUAUCAAACAGGAUUAGAUACCCUAGUAGUC